rnacentral:rRNA from 1 species
UACGAAGGGUGCAAACGUUGCUCGGAAUUAUUGGGCGUAAAGCGCACGUAGGCGGCUUAGCAAGUCGGAAGUGAAAUCCCACGGCUCAACCAUGGAAGUGCUUUCGAAACUGCUGAGCUUGAGUACGAAAGAGGAUCGCGGAAUUCCCGGUGUAGAGGUGAAAUGCGUAGAUAUCUGGAGGAACACCGGUGGCGAAGGCGGCAUCCUGGACCGGCAUUGACGCUGAGGCGCGAAAGCUAGGGGAGCAAACGGG